GACGAACGCUGGCGGCGUGCCUAAUACAUGCAAGUCGAACGCAGUGGGGACGGGUGAGUAACACGUGGGUAACCUCCCAUCAGAGGGGAUAACACUUGGAAACAGGUGCUAAACCGAUACUGAUGGAUGGACCCGCUGUGCAUUAGCUAGUUGGUGAGGUAACGGCUCACCAAGGCCACGAUGCAUAGCCGACCUGAGGGGGGGAUCGGCAAACCCGGAACUGAGACACGGCCCGGACUCCAACGGGAGGAAGCAGUGGGGAAUCUUCGGAAAGGGGCGAAAGUCUGACCGAGCAACGCCGCGUGAGUGAGGAAGGUUUUCGGAUCGUAAAACUCUGUUGUUAGAGAAGCGGUAUCUAACCAGAAAGCCACGGCUAACUACGUGCCAGCAGCCGCGGUAAUUC
rnacentral:rRNA from 1 species